CGCGCCACGCCGCGCGGGACCGCCCCCCUCACCUGACGCGGCCUAAAUCACUGCUGGAAAUAAUCAUUAUGAGGGAGUGGCUGACACAGUGAAAGGCAGAGCCUCAGUCCAGAGGGACCUCUCUAAAUGGGAGGUACCGGACCACUUGGAUGUUCACAGAGUCCAGCAAGUAGAAGUUCCAGGGGUGCCUGGUGCACAAGGGUGAGGGAGGGAUAACACUGAGCAUCGGUCCAGGCUGGGAAGUGACUGGUGGAGCUGCUCAAUAGGAUUCGGAGGUAACUGUGAAUAUGAGCUUGAACAUGGGCCAAAAGUAAUUCUCACUGUGAAUAAUGCAAACUGCUUACUAGGCUGUAUGAGGAGGACCAUCGCCAGCUCAGUGGAGGGGUGUUGGAGACUCUUGGGUUUCUGUGAGUCCAAAAAGCUCUUCAAGACAAUGCAUUAUAUAAGGAGAAAUGCGUGAUGAUGCUGGCAAAGUGCAAGAAAGAUUCCCUCGCAACCCUCUGCAGACCUGCCAAGGUUGCACGUUGUCAGACCCCUGGAAACCCAAGUGCUUCAGCAGGGAGACCGAAGUGGGCAGGCAUGCUGGCAGAAUAUGGCAGGCAAGAUGUUUUGCUGUGUGUUAGGCACUGGAGUGAACACUAUACAGCUUGCUGGCACGGCCUAAAUAACUCAUUGCCUGGAUGGGGCUGCCAUGAUUGCUGCGCCAGGGUGCCAGCAGCACCAUCACUUCUGCAUCCUCCUGGGGCCAUUGCUCCCAGCAUGCUGGUAAAGGCAAAGGUUAGGGUGGGUCUUGCGACACAGCCUGUUCCUUUCUCAGUCAAAAUGGGAGUUUUUUGGCAUUGUCUGCUGUCCUUCAGCUUGUUCUUAUGUUUUGCUUCUGCUAGGCGUUGUUUUCUCUGGAGGCCUGGGAUCCUUGGCCACACAAUGUUUCCAGUGCUGCUCUUGCCGAUACCACUGUGGUUUCUGCUGGAGUUUCCUGGAUGUUACUUGAAACAGCAUAAUCACUUACUCAUGUGCAACCAACGACCACAUGGAAGCUGCUCACAAAAGAAGCCGCAGCCUUUGUUAACAAAGGAACUCCUGUCUGUUUUAUUUUUUCCAACCAAAAUUCCCCAAACAAAUUAGUUAAAUUUCUCCCUUUGUUCUGGCUUUUGUGUUUGCUCUCACUUAUAAGC